rnacentral:rRNA from 1 species
GACAUCAGCAGGUGGGCGUAGAGACUCAGUCGCGGUGAUUGUGGGUCAAUUUAUGAGUAUUGCCUGUCCACCAUGCCCCCGCCCCCCCCCCCCCGCCCGGCGGGCGGGGCGGGGGCACGGGGGGCCUACGGGAGGCAGCAGUAGGGAAUCUUCGGCAAUGGCAGAAAGUCUGACUGAGCACCGCCCAGUGAGUGAAGAAGGUUUUCGUAUUUAAAAUUUUAUUGUUAGAGAAGAAUGAUGAUUAUAGUGAAAGUGAAUCAAGUGACGGUACUGUCGGAACGAUCGUCCCA